rnacentral:miRNA from 1 species
ACGAAUCGUCGAAUCGGAUGUCU